rnacentral:tRNA from 4 species
GUCAGGAUGGCCGAGUGGUCUAAGGCGCCAGACUCAAGUUCUGGUCUCCAAAUGGAGGCGUGGGUUCAAAUCCCACUUCUGACA